AAGGAUCAAAUAGUCUUUAUAGGUACAAAUCAUCAUUUACGAACGGAUGAUCAUCAUUUACGAAUAUGCUCAGUUCAUUGACGAAUAUCAUCACAAAAGACCGAGUCCACUAAAUCGUUUAUUAAUGGGUAUAGUUUCACAAGUAUCCAUUGAAUAUAUGCAUUUGAUUUGUAUAGGUGUUGCCAAAAAGUUAUUGACUGCAUGGGUUACUGGAAAGUACGGGAAAAAAAUGAAAUUAUCUGGUCGCAAUCAAAAUUUGAUUUCAAAAAAACUUCAACAUCUUACUUCGUAUUGCCCACGAGAAUUUGCGAGAAAAUCAAGAUCAUUAGCUGAUUAUAAGGAUUAUAAAGCUACUGAAGGUCGCCAAUUUGUCUUAUAUACUGGAUCAAUAGUUUUACUAAAUAUUAUGGAACAACAUGAUUAUAUGCACUUUUUACUUUUGCAUGCGGCGAUACGUGCACUGUGUCGCCCAGCAAUUUCGCAAACAUUGCUAUUUUUUGCAAAACUUGCCCUUGAAACGUUUGUGAAAAAAUGUCUUGAUUUUUAUGAACGUACUUUUCUCUCGUAUAAGUUUAUGCAUUGUUACAUUUAACAAAAGACGUAGAACGGCUAGAUCCUCUUGAUUCUUUCUCAGCUUUUCCUUACGAAAAUAAUAUUUCGUUUUUUAGAAAAUAUUAUAGAAAACCUCUCAUCCUCUCCAACAAUUUUUCUACAGACAAACUGAGAGGGAAAUACGAGAAAAACUUGAACUAGUUACUGAUGAUAAAAUCAAAUUUUUUUAAAAACAUAACGAAGGACCAUUGCCUUUGAAACUUUUAGUGGGUAUUUCUCAAUAUAAAAAGCUGCAGAAAUGGACACAAGGGUUAAAAAAAUAAUUCAAAAGAGACCUCGAAAACAUAUGAACUUCAUAUUGAAUACGCAGCGAACAGGACAAUCAAAACACUUAGAUCAUCCUUUUCGUCCGAUUAUAAGGCCUAAAAAAUAUAUCACCACUUCAUCAUCAGAUAAAGAGAAAUCGAUUAAAAGAAUUCGAACUCAUAAAAGUCGAUCUGAACAGACGACAGAUAUCGAAAAUCAUAUUGAUCAAAGAGAGAAGAUAGAUAAGAAAAGAUAGAUAAGAAAAGAUUUAAGUAAUGAUAAGGAGAACGAACCUGAUAAUGCCUUUACUGAAAAUCCUUCCCCUGCAAUCUUUAAUACUUCUUCGCCCCAAUUACUGAAUCCAGUUUCGCAAAUGGAAAGU